UACAGAGGUCUCAAGCGUUGUUCGGAUUCAUUGGGCGUAAAGGGUGCGUAGGCGGCCUGUUAAGUCAGGGGUGAAAGACGGUAGCUUAACUAUCGCAGUGCCCUUGAUACUGAUGGGCUUGAAUGUACUAGAGGUAGGCGGAAUGUGACAAGUAGCGGUGAAAUGCAUAGAUAUGUCACAGAACACCAAUUGCGAAGGCAGCUUACUAUGGUAUGAUUGACGCUGAGGCACGAAAGCGUGGGGAUCAAACAGG
rnacentral:rRNA from 1 species